rnacentral:rRNA from 1 species
GAUGAACGCUGGCGGCGUGCCUAAUACAUGCAAGUCGAGCGAAUGGAUUAAGAGCUUGCUCUUAUGAAGUUAGCGGCGGACGGGUGAGUAACACGUGGGUAACCUGCCCAUAAGACUGGGAUAACUCCGGGAAACCGGGGCUAAUACCGGAUAACAUUUUGAACCGCAUGGUUCGAAAUUGAAAGGCGGCUUCGGCUGUCACUUAUGGAUGGACCCGCGUCGCAUUAGCUAGUUGGUGAGGUAACGGCUCACCAAGGCAACGAUGCGUAGCCGACCUGAGAGGGUGAUGGGCCACACUGGGACUGAGACACGGCCCAGACUCCUACGGGAGGCAGCAGUAGGGAAUCUUCCGCAAUGGACGAAAGUCUGACGGAGCAACGCCGCGUGAGUGAUGAAGGCUUUCGGGUCGUAAAACUCUGUUGUUAGGGAAGAACAAGUGCUAGUUGAAUAAGCUGGCACCUUGGCGGUACCUAACCAGAAAGCCACGGCUAACUACGUGCCAGCAGCCGCUGUAA